UUAGCACAAUAAACAUAGAUAUUCAAACCUUAGUAUAGAGCUAAUGUAUAUACUCUCAGCACAAACAUGCACUAACUCACGAAUUUUUACUUAAUUCUCACUAAUCAAGCAUACAACAAUAACGAUUAUAAAUUAUUCAUGCAAAAUACUCAUUAAAUUCGCACAAAAAUAAUACAUUUCAGAGCACAGGAGAAGCUGACUAAGGGUCGAGCCUCGUUAAAACCUUUUCACUGAAAACCCUGUGGGAAAAACCGUGAAAAGGAAAAAGAGUACCCGUCUAAAAACAAAAGUGAACAAAAGGGGAAGAGCGGAAGGGAAAGUUUCCGGAACUCCGGCCUAACCAUCGUCCCCAAACUAUCCCGACUCUUACCCAACGAAACCAAAAACACGGCUGGAUAGACGCCGCCACCAAAAGAAAAAAAAAACGAAACCAAACAGAAACUAAAGAGAGCAACACGGCCGGUUAAACGCCGUCGCCGUGAGUUCUCAACAACGUCCAAACCCAAAAACCACAUAAAAAUAACUACACGGCCGGUUAUACGCCAUCGCCGGUAGUACCCCAUGAACCAUAAGCACCCCAAGGUCACGAGCCGCUGAAUAAAACAACCGCUGCGCCUCCCAAACCAGACGGUAUUUCGAACACCAAGUGCUCGAAGAAAAGGCUGAACUAACACAGACCUGCGUACCAACUGUUCGACCGAAGUAUUGAGAUGACCAACGCCGUAAUUUUUACUUAAUUCUCACUAAUCAAGCAUACAACAAUAACGAUUAUAAAUUAUUCAUGCAAAAUACUCAUUAAAUUCGCACAAUAAUAAUACAUAUUCAUAUGUUAUUACAUAGCCAAUGCAUAUACAUCAUCACAAACAGGAUAUUAGCUAACCCAUGUACAUAUCAGUGACAUAUAUAUUCAAAAAGAUUCAUGCACAUAUCAAACUCAAUUCAUUCAUUUUUAGCACAUAUAUUCGUUCCACAUACUUAUUAGUACAAGAAUGAAAAUAAUUCACAUAAUAAAAAUGUACUGUUC
rnacentral:lncRNA from 1 species